GGAGGCCAAAAGGGGUGAAACGGUCCACAUUAAAGAUUUUGGUCUUGUGGGUGAUCGCUAGAAGAUCCUCGUGGCACGAUGGGCUCCUCAGGAGAGGAGGUUGGUGGCUUCAAUCUGGGGUCAGUGAUCCUGCACGAAAAUGAACGUGGUAAAAAGUGAUGUCUCCAUCGGGGACUGUGGGACUCCACGGCGAUGAGAGAGUGUGGGAGCCACCCUGGCGUGCUUGACGACUUGUGAAGUAAUCAGCGUAACGAAGGGCUGUGGCCU